CCACGGUGAAUACGUUCCCGGGCCUUGUACACACCGCCCGUCACACCAUGGGAGUGGGUUGCAAAAGAAGUAGGUAGCUUAACCUUCGGGAGGGCGCUUACCACUUUGUGAUUCAUGACUGGGGUGAAGUCGUAACAAGGUAACCGUAGGGGAACCUGCGGUUGGAUCACCUCCUUA
rnacentral:rRNA from 3 species